rnacentral:rRNA from 1 species
AUUGAACGCUGGCGGAAUGCUUUACACAUGCAAGUCGAACGGUAGAGGGGGCAACCCCUUGAGAGUGGCGAACGGGUGAGUAAUAUAUCGGAACGUGCCCAGUCGUGGGGGAUAACGUAGCGAAAGUUACGCUAAUACCGCAUACGAUCUAAGGAUGAAGGCGGGGGAUCGCAAGACCUCGCGCGACUGGAGCGGCCGAUAUCAGAUUAGGUAGUUGGUAGGGUAAAGGCCUACCAAGCCAACGAUCUGUAGCUGGUCUGAGAGGACGACCAGCCACACUGGAACUGAGACACGGUCCAGACUCCUACGGGAGGCAGCAGUGGGGAAUUUUGGACAAUGGGCGAAAGCCUGAUCCAGCCAUUCCGCGUGCAGGAUGAAGGCCCUCGGGUUGUAAACUGCUUUUGUACAGAACGAAAAGGUUUCUAUUAAUACUAGGAGCUCAUGACGGUACUGUAAGAAUAAGCACCGGCUAACUACGUG